GGGGGGAAGGCGGCGGCGGAGCCCCGGGGGAGCGGUGCCCGGUCGGGCCGCGGGAGGGGACAGCCUGGGCCGGGACCGACGGGAGGCCGAGGGCUCUACUCUUAGGGCCCUUCCUUGACGGGAGGAAGCCGAGCCACUUCCGUCUCACGGAGUUUGAGCUCAACAACGGGGUGAAGAUUGUUUAACAGGUGCGCCCUGUGUGCCGGACCCCCGGGGUCGGGAUGGGGAGGGAUACAGAAGACCCAGGGGCGCCCCUGCCCCUGCGGUUUGUUUAGGUUAAUUUAAUGCACUCGUCUGUGACUGUUUUUAAUGGUCAGAAACCUGGGAUCUGAGUUUUUAGGUACAGAGGGAGGGGCGUGGCUCAUUUUGGAGUGCGGGUAAUUAGAAGAAUGAACUGAUGGAGGGCCGUAGGGUUCCUGGUCUUUGCGGAUAGGAGGAAAGGGACAGUGUUCGGAUUAUCAGGACAUCCAGCUACCCACGUUCCUAGAAAAGUUUAUGCAGCACAGCUUAUUGGAUGCCUACAAUGUGCCAGGCUAGAAUCUAAGAAUAGCAAGAUGAAGACACAAUUAUGUCCGCUGGUAACUCACAAUACAGCGAUUUGCGUGCCAUCCCGGGCAGGCCACUUUUUGCUGUAUGAGGCAAAAUUAAGACAGGAUAGUCUGUGAUGUAACGUCAUUUAUCUGCACAGGUAUGCCAGAUACACAAAGUAUACCAUUAUUUGUCUGCAGGCGUACCAGACAUAUCUGUGUGAAUCACUGAAACUCAGACCCAUGAGCAAGAUUGGUUCAUUUAUUCCUUCACAUUUGUUGAGCACAAACUGUGUGCUGGGCCCAUGUAAUUAGGAAGUGGGGUUACAGCAGUCCCCCUGCCCUUCUAAUGGAAGUUCAUUUAAAUUAAAAAAUGAACAAGGAAUAAUGACAAGUAUGCAGAAUAUUGUGAAACAGAAGUGCAGGGAAACGCUGAUGUGUGAAUCUUUGAAAGCUUCGUGGAUGAAGCGGGUCUAACCCAAAAUCUGAUAAGGUCUUUCAGGUGUAAUCGAGAAGGUCACACUGGAUGAGGACAGCCAAUGAGGUGUCCAUAUAUGGAGAGAGAGAGACACACAGGGGGAAGAAGGCCAAAUGACAACAGAGGCAGAGAGUGCAGGGAUGUAGCUAGACAGCGGAGAAUGCCAGGAAUUGCCGGUAACUACCAGAAGCUGCGAGAGGCAUAGAUGAGAACAUUCCUCAGAGGCCCCAAAAGAAACCAACUCUGCUGACGCCUUGAUUUUGGACUUCCGGUCCCCAGAACUGUGAGAAAAUAAAUUUCUGUCGUGUUAAGCUGUCCAGUUUGCGGCACUUUGUUAUGGUAGUCCUGGAGAGUAAUACCGAUCAGGAGAUAUUUCGAAAGUAGAAAAAGCAGGAUUUACUGUUUGGAUGUUGGGAAUGAGGGAGGGAAGAAAAAGUCAGAGUCAAAGAUCUCCUGGUUUUCUGGCUUAAGCACCUGAGUGAAACAUAGUACCUUUACCAAGGUGUAGAGAGUACUGGAAGAAAAAUGAGGGCAGCAGUGGUGGGUAAGAAGGUGAAAAGAUAGUGAAAUAAGUUUUGGACAUGGUGAGUUUGAGAUUUCUGUGAGAUAGGCAAGUGCAGAUGUGGAAUAGUCUGUUGGAGUUAAGUCUAUAGAACAGAACCAAGAGUCACAGGAGAGCUUGCAUUUGAGUUUAUCGAGCACAGGUGAUGAAUGAAGCCACCACGUAAAGAGAGAAAAUCUCUCAGGGGAAGAAUAGAUGACAAAGAGAAUUGGUGACCAGGACAGUCCCAGAAUCUCUUUGAGUAUUUAAUGUUUACGUAGAGAUGGGAGAACUGACAGGAGAAGUUGCUGAGUGAGCAAAACAAGAGAAGAGGGAACACGUAGCAGUGGGUUUCACAGAAGCCAAGGGGUGUUAGAAGGAGAGGUAGUACGCCAGUGGAACGUUCUGAGGAGUAAGAUAAGAAUGGAGAAGGGUCCUAAGCAUUCAGAGUAAUAGCAGUCAUUGGUGAUUCUGCACAGGUGGCCGUAACUGUGGAUAAAAUCCAAAUUGGAAUGUGUUGAGAAAUGAGUGGAAAGUGAUAAAAUGGAGAUCACCAUAGCAAACACGAUAAUAAUAAAAAAGACGGAGAUCUGCGAGAAUUACCAAAAUGUGACACCUCUAGAGACACAAAGUGAGCUGUUGGAAAAAUGGCACCAUUAGACUUGCUUGACAGAGGAUUGCCACAAACCUCUAAUUUGUAAAAAACACAGUAUCGGGGAAGUGAAAUAAAGGGAAGCAAUGAAGCAAGGUGUGCCUGUCUAACGUUGCAAAGUUGAAAGUGUACAAGGAUCGUUGGCUACACGGAUAUACUGCGGAACGCUUAUUACCGCAGUUAGUGUUCUUCACCUCACAUAAUUGUAAUUUUGUUGUUGUGGUUGUGGGGGCGAGAACAUUUAAAAUUUUCUCUCAAGGCCACUCUCAGGUAUACAGUACAGUAUCGUUAACCAUGGUCACCACGCGGUACGUUAGAUCCCUGGAACUCACUCGUCGUAUCACUGAGUUCGUACCUUUGGACCAGGAACUUCCCAUUUGCCUCACUGCUCAACCCCUGGCAACCACCAUAUUACUCUGUUGCUGUGAAUUUGAUGUUUGUAGAUCCCACAUGUAAGUGAGAUAAUACAAUAUUUGUCUUUGACUUAAUUUCACUUGCUGUAAUACUGUCAGGAUAUACUCACGUUGUCACAAAUGACAGCUUUCUCUUUUUUGUGGCUGAAUAAUACUCCAUUUUAUAUAUACACCACAUUUCCUUUUUCCGCUCAUCUAUCAGUGGGCACCUAGGUUGUUUCUUGGCUAUUGUGAAUAAUGCAGUGAACAUGGGCGUGCAGAUAUCUCAAGAUAGUGAUUUCAUCUCUUGGAUAAAUUCUCAGAAGUGAGAUUGCUGGAUCAUGUAGUAGUUCUGUUUUUAAUUUUUUUGAGGAACCUCUACACUAUUCUUCAUCGUGACUGUACCCAUUUAUAUUUCCCUCAACCAAGCGCAAGGGUUCCCUUUUUCCACAUCCUUGCCAGCAUUUAUUAUCUCUUGUCUCUCCCCCCCUCCCCCUGCAUCUACAGUUUGGAUGUUUUUUGUUUGUUUUUGUUUUUUAUUUUGAGAGAGCGAGCACGUGAGCGUGAGCAGGGGAGGGGCAGAGAGAGGGAGAGACAGAAUCCCAAGCAGGCUGUGCGUGGUUAGCACAGAGCCUGAUGGGGGGCCCGAACCCACGAACCAUGAAAUCAUGACCUGAGCUGAGAUCCAGAGUCAGACACUUAACCAUCUGAGCUACCCAAGUGUCUCUAUCUCUUGUUUUUUGUUUUUUGGGGUUUUUUUGAUAAUGGCCAUUCUAACAGGUGUGAAAUGAUUUCACAUUGUGGUUUUGAUUUGUAUUUCUCUGAUGAUAAGUGAUAUUGAACACCUUUUCAUAUACUUGUUGGCCAUUUUUGUGUCUUUAAAAAAAUGUCUAUUCAAAUCUUCUACCCAUUUUUUUAAAAUUUUAUUUUGCAAGAGAGCUUGGGAUUCUCUCUCUCCCUCUUUUUCUGCCCCUCCCCUGCUCGCUCUCUAUUCCUCUCUCUCUCUCUCUCUCUCUGUCUCACUUUCUCUCAAAAUAAAUAAACUUUUAAAAAGAUGAAUAUAUUAACACUUAGUAUUAAUACUUAAUAUUAUUGAUGUACAGAUUUAAUGCAAUGUCUAUCAAAAUUCCAGUUGGCUUUUUACAGAAACUGACACGUUGCUUCUAAAGGAAAUGGACCCAGUAUUGCCAAAAUGAUCUUGAAAGAGAAUACAAUGCCCAGACCUUACUCCAGACCUGCAUUAAUAUUUUCCAGAAGUGAAGUUCACCAGUGUCUUUUCCAAAAUUUCUGCAGGUGACUUAGCUUUUUGCCCCUAAAUGAAAAUCACUGCUACAAAACCGUUGGAAUGCCCCGGAAAUGUUAAUACUUUGCCUCCUAGAACUUUGUCUUCAUUUCCUCUUCUCUCCAGAAGUAGCACAGAUAUUUUAUCUGAACAUGUGUUUUGAAUAUGGUCCCAGAGCUAAGGAAAAACCUACAUUGUCAUACCUUAAAGUGGAUAAGCUGUUUUAAAACAUUUAAGGGACGCCUGGCUGGCUAAGUCAGUAGAGCAUACAGCUCUUGAUCUCAGGGUUGUGAGUUCAAGCCCCACAUUGGGCAUGGAGCCUACUUAAAAAUAACAACAACAACACCUUUAUUUAGGGGUGCCUGGCUGGCUCAGUCGGAGGACGGUAGGACUCGGUUGUGAGUUUGACCCUCAUGUGAUUAACUACUACAAAAAAAAAAAUAAAUAAUAAUAAUAAUAAUAAUAAACAAAAUAUCUAGCCGAACUAUGGAAAGAGCCCAAAUGUCCAUCAGCUAGUGAAUGGAUAAAGAAGAUGUGAUAUAUAUGCACAAUGGAAUAUUACUUGGCCAUCAAAAAGAAUGAAAUCUUGUCAUUUGCAAUGAUGUGGAUGGAUUUAGAGUAAUUGUGCUAAACAAAAUAAGUCAGAGAAAGACAAAUGCCAUAUGAUUUCACUCAUAUGUGGAAGUUAAGAAACAAAACAGGGAAACAUAUGGGAAAGAGGAAGAAACAAGCCAUAAGAGACUCUGAAUGAUAGAGAACAAACUAAGGGUUGAUGGAGGGAGGUGGGUGGGAGAUGGGUUAAAUGGGUGAUGGGUAUAAGGGGGGCACUUGUGAUGAGCACUGGGUAUUGUCUGUAAGUGAUGAAGCACUUGAAUACUCCUGAAACCGAUACUGUAUUGUAUGUUAACUAACUGGAAUUUGAAUAAAAAUUUGACAAGAUUUUAAAAAGUUAAAUAGUAAAAAAAAAAAAACUAAAUAUGUUUUAAAAUAGAAUUUUAAAAUAUUUUAAGCAUUUGUUAAAUAUUGUUUAUGUAGGCUCUUAACUCUUGCCUAGAUUUUUAUAGUAACCUCCUCAGUGGUCCCCUCCCUCCAAUUUUGUUUCUCUUUGUUCUACCCUCCAUGAGAAGCUGAACAUGUUCCUCUGUGGUUUGAAAUUCUUGAAGUUUCUAACAUCCAUAGCCUUUAAUAUAAAAGUCAGACUUCCUCGUGUGACUUACAAACUCACAUCACAUUAUGAUGUGUCCCUUCCUCCCUUUCCUUCCCUUCUUUGACCCUUCUGCAGUGUUUACCCCAUGUGCCGUUCUUACCAUGGUUCUCUCUCUUCUCUACGCAUACUUCUCCGCCUUCAGUGACUUUGACUUAGGUCAUGAUGACCUUUAAGGCAUAUCUUUGCCAUUUGCCUCUCCCAGAAACCAUCACUGACCUAUUCCAUGGGCCGUAGCACCACUGCAGUUUCAUUCCGUCUUUUCCAGUAGGCUGAUGACAGGGAUUCUCUCAUUUUUACAAUUCCAUCAGUCAGUGAGUAUUUUCUAAGUAACUGAAUAAUGUUACCAUUAUCGUAUUCUUGCAAUUCCUGAUUUGAGAGCUGUAUGUUUAAUCAAAUAGUUGAACCAGUACUUUGAUUGCAGUGCAGAGAAUGUGUUGUAUCCUCUAGUGUUUCACAAUGACACAGAUUCCCUUUUUGUACAAGGAAAAAAAAAAAAGACAUAGUGAAUUUUAAUACCCGUCCAAAUUAUUCUUACUAGUUUUUGCUUAUGGUGCCCAGUAUGUAUCCCUUUGACGAGGAUCAUGUCCAGUAGUAGUUAUGAGUGCUACAAAAGAAGCAUUUCGUACAUGAAACAUUAUGAGUCCACUCUGGCUGCCAUAACAGAAUAUCAUAGCCUGGGUGGCUUAAACAACAGAAAUUUAUUUUCACACAGUUCUAGAGGCUGGAAGUCUGAGAUAAGGGUGCCAACAUGGUUGAGUUCUGGUGGGGGUAUUCUGGCUUGCAGAUGGCCGCCUUCUCACUGCGUCCUCACAUGGCUAGGUGGAAGUGAGGAGGGGAAUCGAGAUCUCUUUCUUCCUCUUUUUUGUUAGGCCAGAGUCCUAUCAAAUUAAUGCCUUGCCCUUAUGACCCAUGUAACCAUACGUAGCUCCUUAAGACCCCAUCUCCACGUAAGCUUCAACACAGGAAUGUGGGGAGAACACAAUUCAGUCCAUCGCAAGUAAUUAAAAUAUUAUUACAAGGUAUUUUGGUUCAGGGUUUAAGUGACUGCUCCAAAGCCAAUGUAAUAUUAGAGUUUAGAGUAGUGAGAUCUGUAACUAUAUGUCUGUAAAUAUAUACUCCUGAAAAGCAUUUGUUGAAUUUCAUCACAGAUUAAGCAGAAAUUAUUACAUUGGGCUGAGAAUUACGUGGACCCACGAGAGAUUAGUCCAAGUGUACCAGAUCGUUUACUUCAAUAUUGAUCUUGUUGAUCAAAGUAAUUUUUUCUUUUUUUUAAUGUUUGUUUAGAGAGAGCGCUAGAGUUCUCUCUCUCUCUCUCUCUCUCUCUCUCUCUCUCGCAUGCGCGUGCACAGGGGAGGGGCAGAGAGAGAGAGGGAGUGAGAGAAUCCCAACAGGCUCCGCGCUGUCAGCACAGAGCCUGAUGCAGGGCUUGAUCCCAUCAACCAUGAGAUAGAUCAUGACCUGAGCCGAAAUCGAGUUGUAUGCUCAACCCAGUGAGCCACCCAGGCGCCCCUUAAUCAAGGUAGUUUUUUAAAACGUAUGUUAGAGUUCUUUGUGUAGUUUAUUAGGUACUUUCACAUCUGUGAUUGGCAUUUGAUUCACAUACAAACUUGGUGACAUUGACAAAGUGAAGCACACUUACCUCUUUUGCAGAUAUGGAAACUGAUCUUAGAGAGGCUGAGAUUUGCCCAGGGUCAGCCAGCCCUCAGAACAGUAGCUAAUGCUUUUUCUUCAGAAUGUAUUUAGCUGAAGGUUUUUGGCUCAAUCUGGAUGGAUUGCUAUUUUGUGUAUGACUUUUUGAAGUCUGGGCAGCAGAAGAACAUGUUUGGUGUUUGCUAAUAACUAACUUUUAUAUUUAAUUCUAUUCCUAAAAUUAUGGCAGCUGGCCAGUGCUGGCAGGUCUUAUCAUUUAUUCUUUUCUAGGCCCUCUAGCUAUGAAAGUGUCAAGAGAGCUGCAGAAUUAAAUCUUUCUCCUUUAAAAAAAAAAAAAGGACAAAACUCUUUAAAGCUUUUGGCCAGUUUCCUUAGGAAAACAACCGAGACUCCCUAAGUAGCA